rnacentral:rRNA from 1 species
AACGAACGCUGGCGGCAUGCCUAACACAUGCAAGUCGAACGAGACCUUCGGGUCUAGUGGCGCACGGGUGCGUAACGCGUGGGAACCUGCCCUUAGGUUCGGAAUAACUCCCCGAAAGGGGUGCUAAUACCGGAUAAUGUCUUCGGACCAAAGAUUUAUCGCCUUUGGAUGGGCCCGCGUUGGAUUAGCUAGUUGGUAGGGUAAAAGCCUACCAAGGCGACGAUCCAUAGCUGGUCUGAGAGGAUGAUCAGCCACACUGGGACUGAGACACGGCACAGACUACUACGGGAGGCAGCAGUGGGGAAUAUUGGAAAAUGGGCGAAAGCAUGAUCCAGCAAUGCCGCGUGAGUGAUGAAGGCCUUAGGGUUGUAAAGCUCUUUUACCCGGGAUGAUAAUGACAGUACCGGGAGAAUAAGCUCCGGCUAACUACGUG